UACGUAGGUGGCAAGCGUUAUCCGGAAUUAUUGGGCGUAAAGCGCGCGCAGGUGGUUUCUUAAGUCUGAUGUGAAAGCCCACGGCUCAACCGUGGAGGGUCAUUGGAAACUGCGAGACUUGAGUGCAGAAGAGGAAAGUGGAAUUCCAUGUGUAGCGGUGAAAUGCGUAGAGAUAUGGAGGAACACCAGUGGCGAAGGCGACUUUCUGGUCUGUAACUGACACUGAGGCGCGAAAGCGUGGGGAGCAAACAGG
rnacentral:rRNA from 1 species